rnacentral:rRNA from 1 species
UACGUAGGGGGCUAGCGUUGUCCGGAUUUAUUGGGCGUAAAGAGCGUGUAGGCGGUUAGGUAGGUCCGUUGUGAAAACUCGAGGCUCAACCUCGAGACGCCGAUGGAAACCAUCUAACUAGAGUCCGGAAGAGGAGAGUGGAAUUCCUGGUGUAGCGGUGAAAUGCGCAGAUAUCAGGAAGAACACCCGUGGCUAAGGCGGCUCUCUAGUACGGUACUGACGCUGAGACGCGAAAGCGUGGGGAGCGAACAGG